GGCAGGUGAUGGCAGUGCCCCA
rnacentral:miRNA from 1 species